UACAGAGGGUGCGAGCGUUAAUCGGAAUUACUGGGCGUAAAGGGCGCGUAGGCGGUUAGAUGUGUGUGAUGUGAAAGCCCCGGGCUUAACCUGGGAAGUGCAUCGCAAACUGUCUGACUGGAGUAUAUGAGAGGGUGGCGGAAUUUCCGGUGUAGCGGUGAAAUGCGUAGAGAUCGGAAGGAACGUCGAUGGCGAAGGCAGCCACCUGGCAUAAUACUGACGCUGAGGCGCGAAAGCUAGGGGAGCGAACAGG
rnacentral:rRNA from 1 species